AAGUGUCGGAGGGUUCCCACAAAAAUCACUUUCAGUUGGAGAUUUAUUUUGUAAGUCCGAUCGCCAUAAUCUUUGCAAGACUGUCAAACUCCAAUGACUCCAGUUCAAGCCGAGAAUCUGUAGCAACAACUGGUAUCUCUGCAAAAAUCAAUUGGGAUUGAUUGUGAACCCAAAAAAAAAAUAAUCAACUGUAGGUUAUGGUUGGUGAUCUAGUAAAAAUCAACUAGAUUAGAUUGCAAACCCAUGAAAACAAUCGGAUUGUAAUCUUAAAUAGGUUAUAGUUGAAAUUCUCAAGGG
rnacentral:lncRNA from 1 species